GCGUUCGUAGCUCAAUUGGACAGAGCUUCUGACUUCGGAUCAGAAGGUUGCAGGUUCGAGUCCUGCCGGACGCGCCA
rnacentral:tRNA from 2 species